AUGACUGCAUGAGGCUUUGGGGCGGACUUCCAGACACAAACUAUAACUGUAAUAUUAGAUUUUUCUCCAAUCAUUUAACUACAUUCAUUGUUGGCAAUGGACCAUUUGCCAUGAAAACGAAACUUAUUUAAGGCAUUAAUGGAAAUAUCUUCUCUCAGAAGAAGGGAACAGCUAGGUGUCAAAUGCAUUGUAUAGGAAAAUAAGCCAUUAAGGCACCUGUAAGAACGCUUAUGAGAGAAACUGGAAUUUUCUAUUCCUUAUCAGAAUGAGAAGAUCAAAACUUUCUGGGAAGAGAAAAUCCUGGAAUUAUUCUCCUAGUCUUUUUCCUCAAGCUCCUCCAGAAAUGAAGCGCUUACACCUUUCAGGAUGUUUUAAAGUGUGAUGUCCACCUGAGUCUAUCUUCUACAGUUCUUUUUUUGGGACAUCAAGAACCUGCAAUGAAAUCCCAUGAGCUCUCUCCUACUGGAUCUGGUAACAGGGCUGUCUGUGGACUGGGGAACUAUUGGGAAGGGGACCUGCACUGGGCUUAGAAACAGUUGCAGUGUAGAAUAAAGCAUUUUGA